ACUCCACCGGCGUAGGAAAUUGAGUAAACACUACACUGGAAACCUCGGAAAACUAAUACAUCGUCACCAUUGACAUUAUACGUAGAAGACGUCUGCAAGACUGCAACAAAAAAUCUCGUAGGUGCUUCGCAAUGGCCGCGCUAAAAUACCCGUGCAAAAUUGUUGAAACUGAAGAAAGACCGAUGAAAACUUGGGAAACGAAAGAGUAGGGACCUAGAUGAUUCACGAGUGAGGAAACUGCCUCAGAUAACGCGUUUCACCAAAAUUUGACACGUAUUUCAACCUGAUAAAAAAUCUUCUUCGCCGCAUACAGACAUCAACAAACUGUGGGAAUUUUGCUUUUGUGAGUCAUAAACUGAAUGGUGCUGCGCUCUUGUGGACAUAUUUACAAGUUUCAUGGAUGAAGUUUUUCUUAUGUUUCUAAAGUUCUCCCACAGGUAGCGUUAACAAUAACAUUUGAGCUUUUGUAGUCCCCAAGAGAAGAUUGCUCCAAGUCGUAAUAUGAUUGGGAGAGCUGGCGCCUUUUUUAAGCAUUUUCCCGGGUCACUUUUUCGAUACAUGACGGAUUGUUUUCGCGGGUACUCCGCUGCGUGAGGUAAACAAACACCUGUUAGAUUUCCGGAUUUCGUGUGAUUUCGAUUUCUCUUCUCUUCAAUUUCGUGAAUUUUACCGUUGUUAAUGUUGAAAAUGUUCUCCAGUAAUUGUGUAAUAAUCCUCACUGACUGCCACAGCAAAAUCAUGCGCGGUUGUUGCAUCCAAGGAUGUCCAUCCGGGAGGAAAGCAGGACAGAACACAACCUUCUUGCUACACAAAAUCGAGAAGGAGCUAAUUUAUCAGUUGCUGCGCCUCAGGAUUGUCAAAUCUUCUCAGAAAUCGUCUGCAAGAGCUGAGGUGACAAAAAGUAAAAAUCAACCAAUGCUUAUCGACUUAAAGUAAUUGAAUUAAAUUAUCUGAAAAUCGCGUCAAAAGAUAUUCAAGCGGUGAUUCUUAGUGCGUUUGGACAUUAUCGCGAUCGUCGUAAAUUUGUUGUUUAUCGGUCUUUCGUGAAAUAUAGUGUAAUUAUUUUCCAUCCGGGAGAUAAAAAACUACCUUCCGCAUUGAGUGAAAACAACGGUAGCAAAGAAUAAAAAAAAUGUAUCAGAAUCUCCGACGUCUGCCCUGUGAAGAGAACCGCACGUGAACCAAAACUUUCAAGGCAACCUGUUCGAACCAGUGGUGAGAAAUGAAUUAUUUUCGCAUGUCUGCAUGCUUUCUUUUACCUCAUUUAAUUAUCUAUGUAUUCUCCUUUCAUCCACCUGAAACUAUCUUACUCUAUAAUAUAAAAUCAUGAGAGCAACCCUUAACGCUCGAGUCUGAGAAAAAUUAAGACUGAGUAUUUGAUACAAGAGCAUAGAAAAUUGUUCUGAAAAUAUUCCAAAA
rnacentral:lncRNA from 1 species